AUGCGAUAAGUAAUGUGAAUUGCAGAAUUCAGUGAAUCAUCGAAUCUUUGAACGCACAUUGCGCCCGGCAGUAAUCUACCGGGCAUGCCUGUCCGAGCGUCAUUUCAACCCUCGAACCUCCGUUUCCUCAGGGAAGCCCAGGGUCGGUGUUGGGGCGCUACGGCGAGUCUUCGCGACCCCCGUAGGCCCUGAAAUACAGUGGCGGUCCCGCCGCGGUUGCCUUCUGCGUAGUAAGUCUCUUUUGCAAGCUCGCAUUGGGUCCCGGCGGAGGCCUGCCGUCAAACCACCUAACAACUCCAGAUGGUUUGACCUCGGAUCAGGUAGGGUUACCCGCUGAACUUAA
rnacentral:misc_RNA from 1 species